UACGUAGGGCGCGAGCGUUAUCCGGAAUUAUUGGGCGUAAAGAGCUCGUAGGCGGUUUGUCACGUCUGCUGUGAAAACUGGAGGCUCAACCUCCAGCCUGCAGUGGGUACGGGCAGACUAGAGUGCGGUAGGGGAGAUUGGAAUUCCUGGUGUAGCGGUGGAAUGCGCAGAUAUCAGGAGGAACACCGGUGGCGAAGGCGGGUCUCUGGGCCGAUACUGACGCUGAGGAGCGAAAGCGUGGGGAGCAAACAGG
rnacentral:rRNA from 1 species